CCCUGCCGCUGCCGCCACACUGCAUCUCCCACAUCGGGAUCGAUCCCCAUCCAAUCAGUUUGUGCGUCCCCGAUCCAAAAUUCAUGUCGAUCUCCCCCCUCCAACCAAUGCCUCCCCUGAUUCCCUCGUCCACCUCCUGCAGCCCCGAGCGCCCGAGGCCCCAACAACCCGUGCACCAGCUGGCCACCGAACCUCCUCCGCGGCCUCCUUCCUCGCCCGACGACCAGCGCCGCUGCCGGCAACCACCCCCAGGAACUCGCAUCGCCCCCUCCGUUUCCUUUCCCUUCCUUUCCCUUUUUUCUUCUCUUCGCUAACCACUCCCUCUCCUCGUGUGCUGUUUCACAGGGAGCGCCAUGGCCUCCUCCGAUCGAUCCUCCGAUGCCUCCCCGAGCCUGCAGCGUACCCAGCUCCUCGUGCCCGAGGGCCUCGCGCGCGAGCUCGACCCCGAGCGCGCCUGAGAGGAUCUUCCUCCCGCUGGCCUACUCUGCGCCAAGUCCAUCGUCGUCACCGUCCCGUCGUCAAACUCCCAUCCCUGCUGCUCCUCGCCAUUGUCAACUUCCGGCGCGCCACGAACGACAGUUCCGACCUCUGCUUUGAGUAGAGGAGGACGCCCGCGUCUCGCCACACCUCGACGCCGGCGCGCCUCCACAGCUAGACCUCACCGAAGCAAGCAGCUACUCUGCACCGCCCCAUGCGCUCCGGACCGCCGCCAUGGAUGGAUGUGUCCCGCGCUCGAGCUCCAUCUGCCGCCGCUGUUGCCCGGAACCGACGCCGCACGACUCGAUCCACCCAUUCCCGCCGGUUCCCGCCGUCCCCGUCGCCGGGACCCCCCUGCCGUCGUCGCCUGCAUCUCCAUGGGCGUGCUGCUGUUUCUGUGCUUCAGAAACAAACAACAGCAGCUCAUCCGCUCGUCUCGCUCUCGUGUUGACCGAGCGUAGCGCUAGCAGGCCUAGUUGCGCGCCCCCUGCAGGCCUUCCCUCUCCACUAGUUGGGCCAAGGCCCAGUGGUGAGCUGCCCCAGCCUCCCCUAUGCACCUCUGGGCCUGCCAGUUUUGGCCCAUUCCAUUUUUUUCUGGCCUCUGUGUUUUGCUAAUUAACCGGGGAAUUAUAGUUUUACAGAAAAACCCUCUAACUUCAUGCAUAUAAUAA